AUUAUAUCAAUUCAGUUCACUUUCAACCAGCAAGCUAGAUUGUAGUGUGACUCUUUAAACAUUUACCUGAGUAAUGUUUGUGGAAGGCAAUUUUUUCGCUUGAAAACGUGCAGAAAAAAAAAACAAAUCAAGUAUAAAUUUAUUGAUAAUUUAAAAAGUAUUAAGAACGGAAACACUAAAGCGUUUUAGAUUUUCAAACUGUGAGUGAUAAAAUUGCCUUGUCUCGUGCAAUUAAAACCGCUGUGAAAAGCGCGCUGCACUAAGUGGGUGUGUCUGGCUAGAGCGGUAGAGGAUUUUUUGCUUUGAGCAGAGUGAAGAGAUUCAAAUUUUUGAAGGAAGGAACCAACAAGUUUUAUAGACUAAAGUGUGCAAUUAAAAAUCAAAGUCACGUGCUUUGUAUUUGGAGGCAAAUUUCUUGGGAUUUUAAAUCGACCAACAGGCUUUGGUGUAAAUAAAUAACAAAAGUAAAAGAAAUGUGCAGCUAGAUAAACCGGUUAGCAGUUGUUGUGGAUUUAUUUUUUGUUUUGGUUGUAUUACCUGAACACCAGCCAAAAAGAAAAAAAAACAGCAAAUGAGUAAAAAAUAGGAAGCAGUGUCUAAAAUUAUAAAUGCGGCCUACAACCGGUUGUUAAUCGCCUGCUGUGGACAGGUUUGGAAGAAAUUAACAUAUGAGGAAUGGAGAAAAGAUUGACUGAAAAUAAGCGAGGAGGUGAAAAAACCAUAAACGAAAGUUAAAACAAAAAAAAUUGUGUGGGUACUACAAUCUGGUAUUCUGAUGAAAUGAAAUUGUGCUAUUUGGCGUGUGAAAAGUUAAAGCAAUAUAAGUGAAUAUAGUAAUUUCAAAUACUUUUAUAACUAGCAGCAGUAAGAUAUCUUGCAACUGGCCGGCUGUAGAAACAAUUUUACGUCGUUCAACUGUCACUUUGACAACUGCAGCACGUACAACUUUAGUGCAACAA